UGCCAGCCGCCGCGGUAAUACGAAGGGUGCUAGCGUUGUUCGGAAUUACUGGGCGUAAAGAGCAUGUAGGCGGAUGAAUUAGUCAGAUGUUAAAUCCUUCGGCUCAACCGAAGUUCGCAUCUAAAACUGGGAAACUAGAGUACAGUAGAGGAAAGCGGAACUCCAGGUGGAGCGGUGAAAUGCGUAGAUAUCUGGAGGAACACCUGUGGCGAAAGCGGCUUACUGGACCUUUUCUGACGCUGAGGUGCGAAAGCUAGGGUAGCGAACGGGAUUAGAUA
rnacentral:rRNA from 1 species